rnacentral:rRNA from 1 species
AUUGAACGCUGGCGGCAUGCCUUACACAUGCAAGUCGAACGGCAGCACGGGAGCAAUCCUGGUGGCGAGUGGCGAACGGGUGAGUAAUAUAUCGGAACGUGCCCAGUCGUGGGGAUUACGUAGCGAAAGCUACGCUAAUACCGCAUACGAUCUAUGGAUGAAAGCGGGGGAUCGCAAGACCUCGCGCGAUUGGAGCGGCCGAUAUCAGAUUAGGUAGUUGGUGAGGUAAAGGCUCACCAAGCCGACGAUCUGUAGCUGGUCUGAGAGGACGACCAGCCACACUGGGACUGAGACACGGCCCAGACUCCUACGGGAGGCAGCAGUGGGGAAUUUUGGGACAAUGGGCGCAAGCCUGAUCCAGCAAUGCCGCGUGCAGGAUG